UACGAAGGGGGCUAGCGUUGUUCGGAAUCACUGGGCGUAAAGGGCGCGUAGGCGGCUAUUCAAGUCGGGGGUGAAAGCCUGUGGCUCAACCACAGAAUUGCCUUCGAUACUGUUUGGCUUGAGACCGGAAGAGGACAGCGGAACUGCGAGUGUAGAGGUGAAAUUCGUAGAUAUUCGCAAGAACACCAGUGGCGAAGGCGGCUGUCUGGUCCGGUUCUGACGCUGAGGCGCGGAAGCGUGGGGGAGCAAACAGG
rnacentral:rRNA from 1 species